ACAUGCCUACAACAUAGCGUAAAUGCAUCGGAUCUCAUUAGAACUAUGUAGUUAAGUGCACUCAAGAUAGAGUAAUACUGGGAUGGGCGACCUCCUGGGAAUUCCUAGUGUUUUACAUGCC
rnacentral:rRNA from 1 species